rnacentral:lncRNA from 1 species
CACAAAGCAAAGAAGAAAGGAAUGAAAUCUAAGAAGCUAUCAAGGAAGGAAUACAGUCAACACUUCAGUUUACUCAAGCUAAGUAGACCACAGAAGAUAAGCUGUAGUGACCAAGGACUGCUGAAAAAUGUGAACAAGACAGUGCCAUUUGCUGUACUUCACAGUACAUAAAAAAUAUGACAACCAUCUGUCACAUGCAACGAAACAUCCAGUUCAGCAUAUCCACUGCACUACCAAGUACUCCAUACACAAGCUCAUACAUCGUUUACUUUUGGGAGCAUGCAGCAGCACAGCAAGUGCACUGGAGAAGAAGCUACAGAUCACAGAAUGGAUCAACUUGUGUCUUACAAGAGUUGAGCAGAGCACAGCGGUUGCCUUCACAGUAUUCAGCAGAAAUUUUCCCUAGAAUUAAUUCCUCCUGGUGCAGAAGUUCAUCCACAUCUCCAUUUUGCAGUGAUCAGUUACAUGAUAUCCCAUGGACCUCUCUUUCGUGCUGCUAAAUGAGGCAGAGCAACCUCACUGACACUUCUUGAGGAAUACCAUUCACAGCUGAUCCCAUCUCCAGGCUGUUUGCUGAAAUUGGAAAUGAAACUGUCUCUUCACACUGGGCUUCCUGUACUCCAUGACACUCACAGUUUUGCAUAGACUGGGAAAGUCUCAUCAUCAAGAAUAUGCCACUGCUGCACUCCAACACGUAUCUUCUGUAUCCUGCAGGUACCUACUUUAUUUGCCAGUAGACAAAUGGCAAUACCAGCACAGCUAAUUACAUGUGUUCAUUCUAUAUGUAUUUCUCCUUCCUUCCUUUUGGGCACCUUCCUUCUCUCUGUCUACUUCCUAGAAUAUCUAUCUGGAAGAUUUUUACUAUAAUUUUGAAGGCCUGCAGAGAGUGCAUGGAUGAAAGCAAUGAACAGUAAGCAACCUUAUAUGGAAAAGUUUGACCAUUCCCUUUUAAACCAAAACAGAAAUUACUCUUCUUUUUAACUCUCAAGCACCUUGUUAUCAGGAAAAAGAAAAAAAAAAAAAAAAAAAGGGCAGUGGGGAAGCUGUUUUAUUCUUAUGAUGUUCUAUUUGAAAUAUUUAAGGAUAAAUACACUGUAUUUACAAUUUCAAUGAGGUUCCAUAUGUGAUUACAUUCAUUUUAUUAGCAUUCAUUAUUAUGAAACAUUUCACACAAUGCAAUAAGAGCAAGUCGAGUCCCUUUAUUCUUGAUGCAUUUAAUAGCUUAGAUUAUUAUUAUUUUAAAGCAACUUUUUUUUUUUUUUUUCUUCACUUCCAGUUAAUAUAGCACACUUUGUGUGGGAGAUCUCUUGUUUCACCUGAGAGCUAAUGUAUCUGGGAUAUCAAUGCCAUUAACGCUGCUAAUCUUUUUCCAGCCCACGUCAGCUUUCUUAACUUAAUCAAUUCACUUAAUAAUGCAUUCUAGGUACUAUUGUGAGACUGUGCCUAUAAAAUAAAUAGGAAUGCAGAGCAUUUUAGAUUAAACA